CGCCAGACUCCUACGGGAGGCAGCAGUGAGGAAUAUUGGUCAAUGGGCGCGAGCCUGAACCAGCCAAGUCGCGUGAGGGAUGACGGUCCUACGGAUUGUAAACCUCUUUUGCCGGGGAGCAAGCGUGCGUUCGUGAACGCGCGUCGAGAGUACCCGGAGAAAAAGCAUCGGCUAACUCCGUGCCAGCAGCCGCGGUAAUACGGAGGAUGCGAGCGUUAUCCGGAUUUAUUGGGUUUAAAGGGUGCGUAGGCGGAACAUUAAGUCAGCGGUAAAAUCGAGGGGCUCAACCCCUUUAAGCCGUUGAAACUGGUGAUCUUGAGUGGGCGAGAAGUAUGCGGAAUGCGUGGUGUAGCGGUGAAAUGCAUAGAUAUCACGCAGAACCCCGAUUGCGAAGGCAGCGUACCGGCCCCACACUGACGCUGAGGCACGAAAGCGUGGGUGUCGAACAGGAUUAGAUACCCCAGUAC
rnacentral:rRNA from 1 species